ACGGGGGGAUCCCAAGUGCCAUUCUUAACGGGAUGGCUUUUCAUUAGUGUAAAAAGCUUUUGGAAUAAGAGCUGGGCAAGACCGGUGCCAGCCGCCGCGGUAACACCGGCAGCUCUAGUGGUAGCAAUUUUUAUUGGGCCUAAAGCGUCCGUAGCCGGUUUAAUAAGUCUCUGGUGAAAUCCUGUAGCUUAACUGUGGGAAUUGCUGGAGAUACUAUUAGACUUGAGACCGGGAGAGGUUAGAGGUACUCCCAGGGUAGAGGUGAAAUUCUGUAAUCCUGGGAGGACCGCCUGUUGCGAAGGCGUCUAACUGGAACGGUUCUGACGGUGAGGGACGAAAGUUAGGGGCGCGAACCGGAUUAGAUACCCGGGUAG
rnacentral:rRNA from 1 species